GGUCUUAUUUACAGUUAACUUUUUUUGUAGUGGGGAAUUGCAUAUUGUGUCAAGGGUGGUCCAGAAAAAGAGCUAAAAGCAAUGCAGUACUUGGAGAGAAGAGAGUGUGAGUAUGACCAGAAGAUAUCCAUUGAUUUCUACAAGGAAGGAGAUCCCUUGAAACCAGCUGUGAUGGGCGUCUUAGUGUUCGUUUCCACUCCAGAUCCAAUUGGCAACAAGUACUAUCUUGGCCCUGCUCCUUUGCAGAAUAUGGCAAGGCCACGAAGAUGAUUCGAUCAUAGAGCUUGCAAACAAGGUGAGGAAGGUGCUCAACAGAACAAAGGAGACCAAGAUCACUGGUGCCAAUGCUUCCCUGAAAUCACAUGCCCAUUAU